UUUGAUCCUGGCUCAGGACGAACGCUGGCGGCGUGCUUAACACCUGCAAGUCGAACGGUAAGGCCCCUUCGGGGGUACACGAGUGGCGAACGGGUGAGUAACACGUGAGCAACCUGCCCUUGACUCUGGAAUAACAGUUGGAAACAGCUGCUAAUACCGGGUAUGACCUGUCACCGCAUGGUGGUGGGUGGAAAGUUCUGGCGGUCAGGGAUGGGCUCGCGGCCUAUCAGCUAGUUGGUGAGGUAAUGGCUUACCAAGGCUUCGACGGGUAGCCGGCCUGAGAGGGCGACCGGCCACACUGGGACUGAGAUACGGCCCAGACUCCUACGGGAGGCAGCAGUGGGGAAUAUUGCACAAUGGGCGAAAGCCUGAUGCAGCAACGCCGCGUGCGGGAUGACGGCCUUCGGGUUGUAAACCGCUUUCAGUAGGGACGAAGCUAGCGUGACGGUACCUACAGAAGAAGCACCGGCCAACUACGUGCCAGCAGCCGCGGUGAUACGUAGGGUGCGAGCGUUGUCCGGAAUUAUUGGGCGUAAAGGGAUUGUAGGCGGUUCGUCGCGUCGAAAGUGAAAACUCAGGGCUCAACCCUGAGCCUGCUUUCGAUACGGGCGGACUAGAGGUAUGCAGGGGGAGAACGGAAUUCCUGGUUGGAGCGGUGGAACGCGCAGAUAUCAGGAGGAACACCGGGUGGCGAAGGCGGGUUCUCUGGGCAUUACCUGACGCUG
rnacentral:rRNA from 1 species